CUUCUUGUGCUCAAAAAAUUAACAAGAAGAAAAACAAAGAUUUAACUGAUUGUGAGCACUUAAAGCCAGGAGUUGUGUGACAUCAUUUAGGCUUCUGACACACCAAUAGAGCCGCUAUGUGACACGUAUGUAUGAAAAUUACUUUGUGGAUAAUCAACUCAAUGGUUAUCUGCUCCGCACACCUUCCUUUAGAAAAUGUUGAUAUUGAACUUUGUCACUGCAAUCUUUUAACAAACAUUUCCAUUAUGACAAAGGGCAUGCAACAUUUUCUUCUAUAAAUGGUCAGUGAACUACUUUACUUUUAUAUUCCUGGGACCAUUUUAAUUUUAAAUUUUGUAAAAAUUGGCAUUCAGAGUUUGAUUUGUCUUGAUGUUCAUUUUGGAUUAAUUAGCCCUAUGUUAAUUAAGCACAAUAAAAUUAGGUUCAAAUUUUCUUUAUCAUAUUUAAUGUAAUAGAGAUAACUGUAAAAGCAGAUUAUAAAUUAUGAAUUAUUGUAAAAUUUAUAUUUUAAAUAAAUAAAG
rnacentral:lncRNA from 1 species